AUGUAUGUCAUAUCCCUAAAAUUCAUCUGUUCAGUACUCUUAAUCAUAAACUUCAAAAAAAAUCCAGUGAUAACAUUGGUUAUCUCCGCUGUUAAAAUUGUUUGAGGGUCAUCAAGCAACUCAUGCUCUGCGAUAUAUAUCUUGAAAAGGGGAGAUAAGAAGAAGAUAGAAUGGAGGAAAGAUCAGAUCCGUUUCAAAACAUUUGAUUACAAUGCAUUUUAGAAGCAAGGUCUGGGAAUCUUCUACGACGGCUGACGUUAUCUCCAGAGAUAGCUUGGUGGGUUUGAUCUCAAGCUCUGUAUUGUAAUAUGUUUCUUCUUUGGCGUUGAAUCGAAGAACAGAGGUCGGAGAAUGGUGGCUCUAUCGUGAAUCAGGUUGCUAUCUAUAAAAGCUGCCUAUACAGAAGAUAUGCACACCUUACGCAUGGUUGCUGGAGCUAUUGCUGAUCUUUGUGGCAGGAUGAGUCGAGCUUCUUCUUACAGCGUUUGAGGAAUGAUUGCUGCAGAUGUUUCUGAUUAAGUUCUCCGUCAAGUUGAUAAAUUGGUCAUGAAUAAUAAGCAUGCUGCUGCACGUGAGAAUUUUUCAGUCAAUGUAAUAAUUUUAAUUCUUUCUUUCGACCCUAUGCUCCUAUGCUUAUACAUCAGCUUUGAUGUCUAUACAUAAGCUUUGAUCACUGUUACCAGUACCGA